UAUACAUAAGCGGAGGAAAAGAAACUAACAAGGAUUCCCCUCAUAACUGCGAGUGAAGCGGGAAAAGCUCAAAUUUAAAAUCUGGCGGUCUCUGACUGUCCGAGUUGUAAUCUAGAGAAGUGUUAUCCGCGCUGGACCGUGUACAAGUCUCCUGGAAUGGAGCGUCAUAGAGGGUGAGAAUCCCGUCUUUGACACGGACUGCCAGGGCUUUGUGAUAUGCUCUCAAAGAGUCGAGUUGUUUGGGAAUGCAGCUCAAAAUGGGUGGUAAAUUCCAUCUAAAGCUAAAUAUUGGCGAGAGACCGAUAGCGAACAAGUACCGUGAGGGAAAGAUGAAAAGAACUUUGGAAAGAGAGUUAAACAGUACGUGAAAUUGCUGAAAGGGAAACGCUUGAAGUCAGUCACGUUGGCCAGGGAUCAACCUUGCUUUUGCUUGGUGUACUUUCUGGUUGAUGGGUCAGCAUCAAUUUUGACCAUUGGAAAAAGGUCAAGGGAAUGUGGCAUCUUCGGAUGUGUUAUAGCCCUUGGUUGCAUACAAUGGUUGGGAUUGAGGAACUCAGCAUGCCGCAAGGCCGGGUUUUUAACCACGUACGUGCUUAGGAUGCUGGCAAAAUGGCUUUAAUCGACCCGUCUUGAAACACGGACCAAGGAGUCUAACAUGCCUGCGAGUGUUUGGGUGGAAAACCCGAGCGCGUAAUGAAAGUGAAAGUUGAGAUCCCUGUCGUGGGGAGCAUCGACGCCCGGACCAGACCUUUUGUGACGGUUCCGCGGUAGAGCAUGUAUGUUGGGACCCGAAAGAUGGUGAACUAUGCCUGAAUAGGGUGAAGCCAGAGGAAACUCUGGUGGAGGCUCGUAGCGAUUCUGACGUGCAAAUCGAUCGUCAAAUUUGGGUANAGGGGCGAAAGACUA
rnacentral:rRNA from 1 species